rnacentral:rRNA from 1 species
GAUCAUGGCUCAGGAUGAACGCUAGCUACAGGCUUAACACAUGCAAGUAGAGGGGCAUCAGAAAGAAAGCUUGCUUUCUUUGCUGGCGACCGGCGCACGGGUGAGUAACACGUAUCCAACCUGCCCUUUACUCGGGGAUAGCUUUUCGAAAGAAAGAUUAAUACCCGAUGGGAUAAUGAUUCCGCAUGGUUUCAUUAUUAAAGGAUUCCGGUAAAGGAUGGGGAUGCGUUCCAUUAGGUUGUUGGUGAGGUAACGG